AAAAAAUCCCCCAAAAUCCCCCCAAAAUUACCGCAACCCCCCCAAAAUCCCUCAAAUCCCCCCCACCCCCCCAAAUUUCCCCGAAAUUUCCACAAAAUUCCCCCAAAAUCCCCCCAAAAUCACCCAAAUUUUCCCUCAAAUUCCCCAAAAUUCCCCAUAAUCCCCCAAAUUUCCCCCGGAUUUCCACAAAAUCUUCCCAAAAUCCCCCCAACCCCCCCCCAAAAUCCCCCAAAAUUCCCCAAAAUCCCCCCAAAAUUCCCCAGAUUUCCCCAAAACCCCACAAAUUUUCCCCAAAACCCCCUGAAUUUCCCCCAAAUUUCCCCAAAAUCUCCCCAAAUCCCCUCAAACUUCAUCAAACUCCCUCAAAAUUCCCCAAAAUCCCCCAAAUCCCCCAAAAUUCCCCAAAAUCCCCCCCAAAAUCCCCCCAAUUUUCCCCCAAAUUUCCCCCGAAUUUCCCCAAAAUUCCCCCCAAAAUUCCCCAAAACCACCCAAAUCCCCCACAAAAUCCCCCAAAUUUCCCCAAAAUACCCCCAAAAUGCCCCAAUUUUCUCUAAAAUCCCCCAAAUUUCCCCCGAAUUUCCCCAAAAUUCCCCCCAAAAUUCCCCAAAACCACCCAAACCCCCCCCGAAAUCCCCCCAAAAUCCCCCAAAUCCCCCAAAAUCCCUCAAUUUCCCCCAAACUCCCCCAAAAUUCCCCAAAUUUUCCCCAAAUUUCCCCAAAAUCUUCCCAAAAUCCCCCAAAAUCCCCCCAAAAUUCGCCAAAUUUCCCCCUAAUUUCCCCCAAAUCCCCUCAAACUCCCCCAAAUUUCCCCAAAAUCCCCCAAAUUUCCCCAAAUCCCCCCAAAUUCCCCUCCCCACCUUGCAGUAGCGGCAGUAGCGGCAGACGGAGCCGGGCCGGUACCGCCCUUCGGCCUCACCUUCCUCCUCCUCCUCCUCCUCCUCUUCCUCACUCCCUGUGUUGGGGGAUGGGGUCAGAUGUCCCCAAAAUUCCCCAAAAUUCCCCAAAAUUCCCCCAAAAUCCCCCCAAAUCUCCCAAAAUCCACCCAAAAUCCAUCCAAAAUCCCCCAAAAACCCCCCAAAAAAUCCCACCUUCCUCCUCCUCCUCUUCCUCACUCCCUGCGUUUGGGGGAUGGGCUCAAAUAUCCCCAAAAAUCCCCAAAAUUCCCCCAAAAUUCCCCCAAAAAUCCCCCAAAAAUUCCCGAAAAAAUCCCCAAAAAAUUCCCACCUUCCUCCUCCUCCUCCUCCUCCUCCUCUUCCUCACUCCCUGCGUUCGGGGGAUGGGCUCAAAUAUCCCCAAAAAUCCCAAAAUUCCCCCAAAAUCCCCCAAAAUCCCCCAAAAUCCACCCAAAAAUUCCCAAAAAUUUCCCACCUUCCUCCUCCUCCUCUUCCUCACUCCCUGCAUUUGGGGGAUGGGGUCAAAUGUCCCCAAAAAUCCCCAAAAUUCCCCCAAAAACCCCCAAAAACCCCCCCAAAAAUUCCCACCUUCCUCCUCCUCCUCUUCCUCACUCCCUGCGUUGGGGGGAUGGGCUCAAAUAUCCCCAAAAAUCCCCAAAAUUCCCCCAAAAAUCCACCCAAAUCCACCCCAAAAUCCACCCAAAAUCCCCAAAAUUCCCCCAAAAAAUCCCCAAAAAAAUCCCACCUUCCUCCUCCUCCUCUUCCUCACUCCCUGCGUUCGGGGGAUGGGCUCAAAUAUCCCCAAAAAUCCCCAAAAUUCCCCAAAAUCCACCCAAAAAUUCCCAAAAAAUUCCCACCUUCCUCCUCCUCCUCUUCCUCGGAGCUGUGGCCGCCAUCUUCCUCUUCCUCAUCUUCAUCAUCGUCAUCGCUGCCUUCCUCCUCCUCCUCCUCCUCAGAGCUGGGGGGGCUGCGGCCUUCAUCAUCAUCAUCAUCGUCAUCGUCGUCAUGGUGAUGGUGGCCUUCAUCCACCCGGGCUUGACCUUCAUCAUCAUCGUCAUGGCGAUGGUGACCUUCAUCCACCCUCGGUUGGCCUUCAUCAUCGUCGUCAUGGUGAUGGUGGCCUUCAUCCACCCUCGGUUGACCUUCAUCAUCAUCGUCAUGGUGAUGGUGGCCUUCAUCCACCCUCGGUUGACCUUCAUCAUCAUCGUCAUGGUGACGGUGGCCUUCAUCCACCCUCGGUUGGCCUUCAUCAUCAUCGUCAUGGCGAUGGUGGCCUUCAUCCACCCUCGGUUGACCUUCAUCAUCGUCAUGGUGAUGGUGGCCUUCAUCCACCCGGGCUUGACCUUCAUCAUCAUCGUCAUCAUCGUCAUCCUCAUGGUUGCCAUGGUGAUGAUGAUGAUGGUGGUGACUGGGGGAGCCUUCAUCGCUUUGAUGAUGAGGAAGGUGAUGAAGGUCAGCGGGGGAGCCUUCAUCCCCCUGAGGAUGAUGAUGAUGAUGAUGAUGAGGAUGAGGAUGAUGAAGGUGACCGGGGGAGCCUUCCUCGCUCUGCUGAGGAUGAGGAUGAUGGAGGGGGUCAGCGGGGGAGCCUUCAUCCCUCUGGUGAUGAUGAAGAGGAUGAUGAAGGUGACCGGGGGAGCCUUCCUCGCUCUGCUGAGGAUGAGGAUGAUGGAGGGGGUUGGCGGGGGAGCCUUCAUCCCCCUGGUGAUGAUGAAGAUGAGGAUGAUGGUCACCAAGGGAGCCUUCCUCACUCUGCUGAGGAUGAUGAGGAUGAUGAAGAUGAUGAAGGUGACCAGGGGAGCCUUCCUCGCUCUGCUGAGGAUGAGGAUGGUGCUGAGGAUGAUGAAGAUGAUGAAGGUCACUGGGGGAGCCUUCCUCACUCUGCUGAGGAUGAGGAUGAUGAUGAAGGUCCUCCAGGGCCGCCCCCACCCCGAGGAGCAGCAGCAGUAGGAGCCACAGCCUGGCCGGAGCCAUGAGUGACCACUGAGUGACCACUGAGUGACCGCUGGGUGACCACUGACCGCUGAGUGACCACUGACCGCUGGGUGAUCAAUGAGUGAUCGAUGAGUGAUCAAUGAGUGACCACUGACCGCUGAGUGACCACUGACCGCUGAGUGACCACUGACCGCUGAAUGACCACUGACCGCUGAGUGACCGCUGACUGCUGGGUGAUCAAUGAGUGAUCAAUGAGUGACCGCUGAGUGACAGCUGAGUGACCGCUGGGUGAUCAAUGAGUGAUCGAUGAGUGAUCAAUGAGUGACCGCUGAGUGACCACUGAAUGACCAUAGAGUGACCGGUGCCGAAUGACCACGGAGUUACCAGUGCUGAGUGACCAUGGAGUGACCGCUGGGUGACCGCUGACUGACCACAAAGUGACUGCUGGGUGACCGCUGAGUGACCAGCACAAAGUGACCGGUGGGUGACCACGGAGAGAUCACAGAGAGACCUCAGAGUGACCACAGAGUGACCGCUGAGUGACCAUGGAGUGACCAGUGCUGAGGACUGCUGAGUGACCACGGAGAGACUUCAGAGUGACAUCAGAGUGACCACGGAGUGACCACUGAGAGACCUCGGAGUGACCGCUGGGUGACCAGUGCUGAAUGACCACGGAGUGACCUCGGAGUGACUUCAGAGUGACCGCUGAGUGACCGAUGGGUGACCUCAGAGUAACUGCUGAGUGACCGCUGAGUGACCCCUGUGAGACCGUUGACUGACCGCUGGGUGACCACUGAGUGACCGCUGCUGAAUGACCACAGAGUGACCGCUGAGAGACCUCGGAGUGACUGAUGCUGAAUGACCACGGAGUGACCAGUGCUGAGUGACCGCUGAGUGACCGCUGGGUUACCAGUGCUGAAUGACCAUGGAGUGACCACUGAGAGACCGCUGAGUGACCGCUGAGUGACCAGUGCUGAAUGACCACGGAGUGACCGCUGAGUGACUGGUGCUGAAUGACCGCUGAGUGACCAGUGAUGAAUGACCUCAGAGUGACAUCAGAAUGACCACGGAGUGACCACGGAGUGACCGCUGAGUAACCGCUGAGUGACCUCUGAGUGACCGGUGCUGAGUGACCUCAGAAUGACGUCAGAAUGACCACGGAGUGACCGAUGAGUGACCGGUGCUGAAUGACCACGGAGUGACCAGUGACAAAUGACCACGGAAUGACCACUGAGUGACCGGUGCUGAGUGACCGCUGAGUGACCGCUGAGUGACCGCUGGGUGACCAGUGACGAAUGACCACGGAGUGACCACUGAGAGACCUCGGAGUGACCGGUGCUGAAUGACCACGGAAUGACCACAGAGUGACCGCAGAGUGACCUCGGAGUGACCGCUGAGAGACCACAGAGUGACCACUGACCACGGAGUGACCGAUGAGUGACCGCUGAGAGACCAAUGAGUGACCGCUGAGUGACCGCUGACCGCUGAGUGACCACUGAGUGACCAGAACAGAGUGACCAGCACCGAGUGACCACAGAGUGACCACAGAGUGACCACGGAGUGACCAGCACAAAGUGACCAGCACCGAGUGACCGCCGAGUGACCACAGAGUGACCACAGAGUGACCACAGAGUGACCACAGCAGCUGCGCCCCUCCCCCACCGCGGGACCCAAAAAUAGACACGGGGGGGGGAGGGGAAAUCGAGGAGAAAAACCCAAAAAUUCAACAUUUUGAUCCAUUUUUUGGGUUUUUUUUUCACAUUUUGGGGUGUCCCCAAAUUUGGGAGGGGGGGGGUGUCAAAUUUAGGGGGGGGUCACCCCAAAUUUGGGGGGUGGGGGGGUUGAAAUCGAGGAGAAAACCCCAAAAAUUCAAUAUUUU
rnacentral:lncRNA from 1 species